UGCAUGAAGUUGGAAUUGCUAGUAAUCGCGGAUCAGCAUGCCGCGGUGAAUACGUUCCCGGGCCUUGUACACACCGCCCGUCACACCAUGAGAGCUGCGAACACCCAAAGCCGGUAGCCUAACCGCAAGGAGGGCGCUGUCUAAGGUGGGCGUGGUAAUUGGGGUGAAGUCGUAACAAGGUAGC
rnacentral:rRNA from 1 species